AUUGAACGCUGGCGGCAGGCCUAACACAUGCAAGUCGAGCGAGCGGCGGACGGGUGAGUAAUGCCUGGGAAUUGCCCAGUCGAGGGGGAUAACAGGUGGAAACGACUGCUAAUACCGCAUACGUUGGGAUUGCCCAGGUGGGAUUAGCUAGUUGGUGAGGUAAUGGCCCACCAAGGCGACGAUCCCUAGCUGGUCUGAGAGGAUGAUCAGCAACACUGUAACGGAGCCACGGUCCAGACUCCUACGGGAGGCAGCAUGGGGGAAUAUUGCACAAUGGGGGAAACCCUGAUACAGCCAUGCCGCGUGUGUGAAGAAGGCCUUCGGGUUGUAAAGCACUUUCAGCGAGGAGGCGUUACUCGCAGAAGAAGCACCGGCUAACUCCGUGCCAGCAGCCGCGGUAAUUC
rnacentral:rRNA from 1 species